CCCGAGAAUGCUCUACGCCUCCCAGGUCUUAGCAGGGACCACCAGGUGACCUCUCAGGAAGCCAAGUCCCAGCCCUAACGUCCAGUCCUGCAGUUAUUAGGCCUAAAGAGACACUAUCCCUGACCUCAGUUUCCCAAUUUGCAAGUGGCUCCUUUCUGAAAAUGAAAUCCCUUCCAGUGACAAACUCCCCAGGACCCCAGGCCCACCAUAGCCUGAGCUGCAUUCCAAGGGAUCUGGGGAAGGAGCUCUAGCAUCAUCCAGUUUCCUGGGGACAUACGGUGAGCUCAGCCCAGGAGAGGAGAGGGGUUGGGAAGCAGCCGCCCUCUGCCUCUACCCAUCCUGGCCCCCAGACAAUCCAUUUUCCACUGGGUCCCGGUUCCUUAUCCAGAAAAUGGAUGGAGGUCCCUUGUAGCUCCCAUAAUGGAUCUUCACCUCUAAGGAUUCCCUUUUCCUAACAGUGUCAGGGAUGGCACCAACUUGCUCAGAUUCAGGGAGUUAACUCUUGUAGGGGCUUGAGAAAGGUGAUCCUCUCCCACCCUCUAAAUGUGGGGGAGGACUGAUUAGCCCCCCAUCCCCUGAGGUCACUGGGAUUCCCAUGGUCCUGCAAGAGCUGGAUGGAAGGGUGCGGAGAAGGAAGCCAGGAAAAGCCCCCUCCCCGCACCCCCUUAUACGCCAUUCCAGGACUUUGUCCUCCCAGCUCUGAACCCAGCCAAGGCAGCUGUUCUCCAGAUUCAGACAAAGACCUGACACUUCUUCCAACUGGGCCAAGCUGGCCAGUCUGUGGACGGGUGGUGGGGGCGGCGUGGCACAGAGAGAGGCCAGGGAGAGCCAGCGCCGGAAGAGUCUGCAUGGCUCAUCCUCGGCUCCACGCCCUCCGUGCGAAGACCGGACUGAGAUAGCCACGUUCUGUGGGGCCCAGUCUGGCCCUCGGCAGCUCUCCCCCUCCCGCGCUGCUCCUCAGCCACAUGCCCUUGGGCUGAGCUAAGUCCAGAACCCGGCUGAGUAGGGGAAUUGUUCUGAGAAAGUGGCCCGUUGGCUGGUUGCUAUGGAAACCGACAUACCACAGUGCUGACCCCGGAGAGGUUUAGCACGCUCCCCCAGCAGGGAUGCCAGCAGCUGGACUGCAGCUGUUACCGCGGGAGUGGGGGCUGGAGCCGUCGCCAGCAGUCCCUGCUGUUUGCCUAAACUAGGCCCGCCAGCAGAUCCCCUCCAUUUGCUCCCACGCCGCUCCUCCUCAUGCGGCUUCCCCCACUGCUAGGGACGGGAAGGGAGCGGCUGAGCCUGCCCUGGCAGGAUGGGGGUGGGGUGGGGGAGCUUGGCUCUAGAGAGAGGAGGUCUCCUUUAUGAACCGAGGCAUGUCCUUGAAGGGUAGGGCAAUGUCCUCCCCAUUGCAUUUCUGGGGAAACUGAGGCCCAAGGAAAAAUAGGAAUUGGUCCCCAGUCACACAACCAGGGCAUACUAGAGCUAGGGCUGGCACCCGACUGAGUCUAGAAGCACCACACCACUGGCUCUGGCCCUCUGUGCUGUGCUCUUGGCCCUCCCUGCAGCAAUUCAGCACACACUACAGAGACUGCCCCGUGCAGACAGCAGCAUUUAACCAGCAUUACUCCCGGCACAACCUCGGGGAGGGCGAGGGGCGCCGAUGACUGAACAAAAGGAGCACUAGGAAACGGAUCAUAGAAAUAGAAAGAGGGACACAGAGAGGAAAAGGAGGGUACGUGAGUAGAGGAGCAGGAGGGAACGCAUGGGAGAGGGAAACAGAGAAGUAAGGAGAAGCAGAGAAAGUUAGAGAAAGAAAAGAGAGAGGUGAUGAGGUGCCCAGAACGAGUGGAAAGAAAGGACAAGAUCACCUCCCUCCCCCAGCUAGUUCCGAGCCCCUCCCAGCACAGACAAAGCCUGUGGGGUAGAGAGAGGAUUGCACAGACAAAGCCUGUGGGGUAGAGAAAGGACAGGGAGGGAGGAAGGGUGGGAGGGCUGCUUGGGGAGCAGGGCAAAGGUGGAGCGGGCAUUAAAAUCGGUUUCUGGGAGGCAUCUCCUGCCAUCCCACAAUGCCUCAAGCUCCCUGAGUGACCUAGCGCAAACACACCAGCCCGCCUCCCACCGUGAUGUGGCACUUCUAGACUCAAGUGGGCUAAUCUGCGACGGGACGCUAAGCAAACACCCCCUCAGCCAGAGAGAGUCAUCACUCCUUCCGGCCCAAGGGGAGACGCAGCUGCAUAAAGAACCACCCCCCCACCGCCGCCUCCACUGUCUCACUGUCUGGCCCCUACUCUUCAGCCCUUCCUCAUCUAGAGCUGGAUCUGACACCAAAGGCGUCUUGUGAGCAGUGUCAUGACCGAGAAUGAAUACUCUGGAUGUGGUGGCUGGCUCCUUGUGAAGAAGAAUUCAAUCAGAUUCCAUUUGAUUAAUCUGCAUUGAGAUCCUAGUAUGUGUCCGACACUAUGCAGAAAUACUUCACUCCCUCUUCCAUGGCAGACCAUGAUGAACUAGGGUUUGCUGUUUUCACGGCUUCUGUCACUGUUGGAGCUGAGGCUGAGGCUGCAGCAGGAGCUCCUCUGGCCCCGAGGCAAGAGACAUGUUCUCUGCAUCCCCAGGGGACCCAAAGCAACUUCUGGUUUGGGUUAAAGAGGACUUGGGUGACCCCACCCUGCCAGUCAUCCACCCUCUGGCAGCCAGGGCGGCAGCAGGGGAGGGGGCAGAAGGCUGCCACAGUGCUUCUCUCCCCUGCCAUUUCCUCUGCAGCUCCCUCUCUGGCCCUGUUUUUCAGACCUCUAGUAAUAAAAACAAGCCAAUAAAAUGAACAUGAAAAUA
rnacentral:lncRNA from 1 species